rnacentral:rRNA from 1 species
CCUACGGGAGGCAGCAGUGGGGAAUAUUGCACAAUGGGGGAAACCCUGCUGCAGCGACGCCGCGUGAGCGAGGAAGUAUUUCGGUAUGUAAAGCUCUAUCAGCAGGGACGAAAAAAGACGGUACCUGACUAAGAAGCCCCGGCUAACUACGUGCCAGCAGCCGCGGUAAUACGUAGGGGGCAAGCGUUAUCCGGAUUUACUGGGUGUAAAGGGAGCGUAGACGGCAAGGCAAGCCAGAAGUGAAAGGGCAGGGCUCAACCCUGUACAUGCUUUUGGAACUGUGGUGCUAGAGUGCAGGAGAGGUAAGUGGAAGUCCUAGUGUAGCGGUGAAAUGCGUAGAUAGUAGGAGGAACACCGUUAGCGAAGGCGGCAAUCUGGCUGGAAACUGACGCUGAGGUGCGAAAGCGUGGGUAGCAAACAGGAUUAGAUACCCGUGUAGUC